CUUAGAUGCACUUUUCUGGGGACGACACACAAGGGUGAACCCUGCCUUCACCGUCAGUCAGCUGGGAUAGACUCCAGCCCCCCAUGAUGCUACAGAGGAUAAACCAGAAGAUAGAAGAUUAAUGGAUGGAUAUCUUUUGACCAGCUUGUGCACCGGGUGUGAUUUAAAAGAAGCAACGACGAGGAGCUCAACAAGCUGCUGGGCGGAGUGACGAUCGCUCAGGGCGGCGUGCUGCCCAACAUCCAGGCUGUGCUGCUGCCCAAGAAGACCGAGAAGCCCGCCAAGUCCAAGUAAAGCAUCCACAUCCUGCAACAAACCAACGGCUCUUUUCAGAGCCACACACAAACUCUCAAUGAGCAUCUCAACGCUGGUACUCGACUUGAAUCCCAAAGUUAUUUCACUCGUCC
ensembl:lncRNA